rnacentral:rRNA from 1 species
GUGCUAAGGUAGCAUAAUCAUUUGUCUUUUAAAUAAAGACUAGAACAAAAGAUUCAACAUUUCAAUAAAUAUCUUACAAUUAUAAAUCAAAAUUAUUUUUAAUGUUAAAAAACAUUAAUAAAACAAAAAGACGAUAAGACCCUAAUGAACUUUACUGAAGUUUUACUGGGGCAGUAAAUUAAUUAAUAUUUUAAUAAAUCAAAUUCAAUACUCAUCUAUUAAAAAUAAUAUUUAGUUACCAUAGGGAUAACAGCAUAAUAUAUAUUCAAAGUACUUAUAAAAAUAUAUUCUUAUGACCUCGAUGUUGAAUUAAUUACCUAAUUAAUGUAAAAAUUAAAUAAGGAAGUCUGUUCGACUUUUAAAUAAUUACAUGAUUUGAGUUCAGACCGGUACAAGCCAGGUCGGUUUCUAUCUUUUUAAAAAUUUUUACAGUACGAAAGGACCUAUCAAUUUAAUUUUAUUUCAAAAUUAGCAAAAUAAUGCAUUAGAAUUAGAAUCUAAUUAACUAAUA